ensembl:lncRNA
CAGAAAGUGAAUAGCUUAUUCAAUUGACAGUGACAGAUUACUUCCCAAGCAAAGCCAGCCUUUGAAUGUCAAAGAAAUGAAACAAUGAUAUCCCCAUAUGCAUUGGAGUCACGUCUUUGUAGCAUGAAGCAUUGGGGACCAAAGCUCUGUUGUAAAUCAUUUUAUAUAAUCGGAUCCGUUUUAUUUUCUUCAAAAUCUUAAGCUAACAAGGGGUAAACCUGUGCUUUUUGCCAUUUUAUUUCAUUAAAGGUAGUUCUAUGGCAGACCCUCUCAUACCCCCUCAAUUGGAGUCUUGGAUUUAACUUAACAGCCCUUAAUUGACACGGAGGUAGGCUAUUUAAAGAGUGCAUGUGGAGGUGGAGGAAUUGACCGACAAAUCUAUGGAUAUAGCAACCUAUGGACUAAUUUAGUCUGUCAAACAGGUGUCGCCUCCUGCGCAGUGUGGACCACAGAGUGAACGAAUACCCAGCCCUGCACUAUCCUCAAGGGUGGCUACAGAGACUUCUCUCAUCAGGAGCACUGUGAGCCCCAGACCUACUGCCCCAUGCACCAAGAGGACCACAGAAAGGAGCUGCUGCGGUGCCGCACACACAGCGUAGCCUCCGCCUAGGAGCGCCGCAGACGCCACCACAUCCAAACUUUUGUCAAACUCUGAGGCAGUCGUGUCGAUGAUGGAGGCCAGGAGAAGAACAGACACUCAGAGGGACAGCUGAGUCCAAACAGUGACCUUAGAGAUUGUCCAUUUAAUUAUCCUACAGGAACCUACUUGACUAUGUGAUAACAAAUUGCCCUUUUGUUGGGCUUGCUAGCUUUCCAAAUGGAACCCUUUUUCACAUGCUGUCAUGUAAACUAUGCACUAUGUCGAUGUUCACUGAUGCCUUUGUCCAUUUUGUAGUAUAUUUUAAUUACAGUAGAGACCGCAGGUCGCCUUUUCAAAUUGCUUUAAUGUAAUUUCCACAUUGCAGAGCAGAAAGGGGUGGCAUUAUUUCCAGUGUCAAUCAUGGAUGUAUGUUUUUAUUAUUAAUGGGAAUCAUGACUUAAUUUGAGCUCUUCUGAAUACCAUUUUUUUAACCAGAGUGAAUGACCUUGGAGUUUAGGUUGAAUAGUUUUUAAUGUUUUGAUUACAUCAGGGACCUGCACAUUAAUUAAUG